CCUAGUAGGUGUCCAGUAAGUGUUUGUGACAUAAUUUGUUUAUUGAGGACCUCCUAUCAA
rnacentral:pre_miRNA from 1 species